UGUAGUCUUGUUGUGAGUUACUCUGGCUCUCCUGUGGUCAGUGAUGUUAGGUUUUUUAGCCUGACCAAGGGUUUUGACCAAAAUUUGUGGAAUACUUCAGAUUUAGCAGGUCACAGGAAUCAAUGCAGAUCACUAUCAGCUGCUCCUUCACUUCCACGUGAGCCAGUGCAGCCACAGAGAAGCCAGGACAGGCUGAGAGUUGAAAAACAGGAGAACUGGAGCUGCUCACACACACCAAGCAUGCAGUCACAGUCACCAAGUGGUGCCUGCAGCACAGGAGCAGCAGGGCUGGGUGAAGCUGGAUGUCCUUGGAGCUCCCCGGAGAAAGAGGAGGCUGAGAAUAAAAUCAGCAUUUUAAGCCAUAAAUAGAAGGAAAGCACCCUGAUAAUGUUCAGCUGGAAGAAGUGAGGGAGGAGAACUUGUUAUUAUGAGGAAUUGUUCAGGUGUGUUUAGACCAUGAAGAUCUUUCUUUUAAUCUCUUCUGCCUACAGAAACCCCACUGAUAAAGCUUCUGGUUCCAUCUUCAAUGUCUCCACUGCCCUUUCCCCCAGCAAGGGUGACAGCCAUUUUAAAUAUGGGGAGCUGAGGUUAGAUUUUAACAUCCUUGAUUCCCAGAAGCACAAAAAAAAAAAAAAAGAACAA